CCUACCAUGCAGUCGGGCGAAGAAGCUCCUCCGGGAGUGGAUUAGCGGCGGACGGGUGAGUAACACGUGGGCAACCUGCCUCAAAGAGGGGGAUAGCCUCCCGAAAGGGAGAUUAAUACCGCAUAAAAGGUAAAUAUCGCAUGAUAAAUACCUUAAAGGAGAAAUCCGCUUUGAGAUGGGCCCGCGUCGCAUUAGCUAGUUGGUGGGAUAACAGCCCACCAAGGCGACGAUGCGUAGCCGACCUGAGAGGGUGAACGGCCACAUUGGAACUGAGAGACGGUCCAGACUCCUACGGGAGGCAGCAGUGGGGAAUAUUGCACAAUGGGGGAAACCCUGAUGCAGCAACGCCGCGUGAGUGAAGAAGGUUUUCGGAUCGUAAAGCUCUGUCAUCCGGGACGAUAAUGACGGUACCGGAAGAGGAAGCCACGGCUAACUACGUGCCAGCAGCCGCGGUAAUACGUAGGUGGCGAGCGUUGUCCGGAAUUACUGGGCGUAAAGGGUGUGCAGGCGGAUAUUUAAGUGAGAUGUGAAAGACCCGGGCUUAACCCGGGCAGUGCAUUUCAAACUGGAUAUCUAGAGUGCAGGAGAGGAGAACGGAAUUCCUAGUGUAGCGGUGAAAUGCGUAGAGAUUAGGAAGAACACCAGUGGCGAAGGCGGUUCUCUGGACUGUAACUGACGCUGAGGCACGAAAGCGUGGGUAGCAAACAGGAUUAGAUACCCUGGUAGUCCACGCCGUAAAC
rnacentral:rRNA from 1 species